GUGCAGCUGGUGGAGACUGGGGGAGACCUGGUGAAAUUUAGGGGUCCCUGAGACUCUCCUGAGCAGCCCCUGGAUUCACCUUCAGUAGUAAUGCCAUGAGCUGGGUCUGCCAGGCUCCAGGGAAGGAGUAGCAAUGAGUCUCAGUUAUUAGAUAUGAAAGUAGCACAUACUAUGCAGACUCUAUGAAGGGCCGAUUCUCCAUCUCCAAUGACAACACCAAGAACACACUGUAUCUGCAGAUGCACAGCCUGAGAAUUGAGGACACGGCCGUGUAUGACUUUGCAA